GACCACGUGACUUCACUCCAACAACAACAACAACAAUGGCCGCCAUGUUCCCGGCUCCAGCUCCCUGACGACCGUAACAUGGCAACUACAUCCCCAUCCAUCCAUUAACUACAUCUCAACCUGUAAUCAUCCACCCUUUGAGCCUUCUUCACCUUCUCCUUGCUUACUAAUGCUGCUAUAUUUUUUUUAAAUCCUUCGACUCACCACGCAGUGUUUCCCCGCUCGCUAUCGCCAUGGAGACCACAACAGCAUGAGUCACCAGCCAGGUCUUCCUCGCUAUAAUGAGUCAACAUGAGUACAUCCCGCCCGCUGAAUUACAAUCAUGUCCUAACCGUACUUCCGGGCUGCCGAUGACGUCACAGCGCGCCCAAGUCGUGACAGGAGCGGGACUUCUGCCUCAGCAUCCGGCCCACGUCGCGCUCGCGCUGGUACCGAGGAACCAGGCUGGACAGGAAGCGCUUGGCCCGCGAGGUGAUGCUCUCCCGCUGGCCUCCUCCGCUCAUGUCCUCCGGGCUGGUCCCCGGGGCCCACGGAGGCUGGCCCCGCGCUAACCGCACGACGCACUCCAGGAGCUCCUGAGUGCGGUGGUCCAGAGAGGCCGAAAUCUCCAGGUAGAGACAGUUGAAGAGUGCGGCGCUCGACAUGGCCUCUGUGGGACGACGCAGACACGGGAUUGGGGUUUUAACCAGCAGGGAGACAUAUUUGGUGAUGUUAGCCUAAUGUGCCGCAGGUUAAAACACAAUAACAACGGUCACAGGUGCUGUUCCACUCCGGUCCUGUAAGUGGCGGUAAUGUGCAUUAGAUUGUAGUGGACAACUGACACACAAAUGAAACAAAUCAUGGACUCCAUUUACAAAUGUUUUUUAGAGCCACACUUAAAACACUGCUGGACUCUAGAAAGAGGAUCCGCAGCCUCCGUAGCAGAACCUCCAGGUUCUGUAACAGCUUCUUCCCUCAGGCCAUAAAGACUCUUGAACGCAUCAUAAUAAUCCCAUCAAUUCCCCCCCAAAACGGAUUAACUCGCUGGACUAUAAAGACAAUAUAACAUACCGUAUUUUUCGGACUAUAAGUCGCAGUUUUUUUCAUAGUUUGGCCGGGGGUGCGACUUAUACUCAGGAGCGACUUAUGUGUGAAAUUAUUAACACAUUACCGUAAAAUAUCAAAUAAUAUUAUUUAGCUCAUUCACAUAAGAGACUAGACCAGGGGUCGGCAACCCGCGGCUCUAGAGCCGCAUGUGGCUCUUUAGCGCCGCCCUAGUGGCUCUCUGAAGCUUUUUCAAAAAUGUAUGAAAAAUGGAAAAAGAUGAGGGGGAAAAAAACUUUUUUGUUUGUUUUAGUAUGGUUUCUGUGGGAGGACAAACAUGACACAAACCUCCCUAAUUGUUAUAAAGCACACUGUUUGUAUUAAACAUGCUUCACUGAUUCGAGUAUUUGGCGAGCACCGUUUUGUCCUACUAAUUUUGGCGGUCCUUGAACUCACCUUUAGUUUGUUUCCAUGUAUAACUUUCUCCGACUUCCUAGGACGUGUUUCAUGCCACUUCUUUUUCUGUCUCAUUUUGUCCACCAAACUGUUAACGUUGUGCGUGAAUACACAAAGUUUCGUAAAAUCCCCAAAACUGUCUCCACGGAGUCUGUUUAGCUGAUUGGAGAGCAAGCAUCCGCAGCUCGUGGAUCCACGACGAUGACUUCUGUUUAGUUUGAUCAGACAUUUUACUGCCGUGAGACAGGCGCUGUUUGAAAGCAAUUAAGGGUCAUUGUCCUGUUGGAACACCCAACUGCGCCCAAGACCCAACCUCUGGGCCAGUGGUUCUUGACCUGGGUUCGAUCGAACCCUAGGGGUUCGGUGAGUCGGGUUCGGCGGAGGUCAAGACACUCCUGACUCAUCGUGUAAAUAAAACCUUCUCCCUAUCGGCAUAAUACGGAUACGGCAACAGCAGAAGUCAGACUGAUUCACAGCCAGCUCCUGUUUUCCCUCGGCCUUGAUGUGAUCAUGUUGCCUGGUAACGGCCCAAAGAGCGACGAGGAAAGAGGAGGAUGUGUUGCGGUGCUUCCCGUGUGAUGAUGAUGAGGAUGAUGAUGGUGGUGGUGGCGGCGUUUGCAUCAUCUGCAGGAUGAUGACUUCCUCUUUAAAAAGGGGAUCACACCAGCUCACUGUGACCCGGUCCUGUGUUGAAGCAGUCUGUGGACGACAACAUCGGCUUUAAAUGACAGGAUCCGUCUCUGCAUCUCCGUCCUCCUCUGCCGUGACACAAAGAAGAAGGAUGAAAACGUUUAGAAACAUUUACAAUUCCACGCCGUGAUGUUUAGAAUAGAAAGGACUUUAUUGAUCCCUGGGGGAAAUUCAACACCACAGUUCGCUCAUAAUAAACAAUAAACUCUUUGGUAUUCACAUAUCAAGGAAAAUAUCCAAAAAUAUACAGAUGGUAAAAAAAGAUAUGUAAUAGCGUACACUCGAAGUGUCCCCUCACUUUCCUUCCGGUGCAACAACAGCAGUGCAAGUAGCCUUGUACAUGUGAAUUAUAUAAAUAAGGCUAUGGAAUUGAAUAGAAUUGUCCUAUCACUAUUUUUCUGGUGCAAAAAGACAGCAGUGCAAGUAGCAUUUUCUUCCGCUUAUCCGAGGUCGGGUCGCGGGGGCAGCAGCCUAAGCAGAGAAGCCCAGACUUCCCUCUCCCCAGCCACUUCGUCCAACUCCUACUGGGGGAUCCCGAGGCGUUCCCAGGCCAGCCGGGAGACAUAGUCUUCCCAACGUGUCCUGGGUCUUCCCUGGGUCGGACGUGCCCCAAACACCUCCCUAGGGAGGCGUUCGUGGUGGCAUCCUGACCAGAUGCCCGAACCACCUCAUCUGGCUCCUCUCCAUGUGGAGGAGCAGUGGCUUUACUCUGAGCUCCUCCCGGGUGACAGAGCUUCUCACCCUAUCUCUAAGGGAGAGCCCCGCCACCCGGCGGAGGAAACUCAUUUCGGCCGCUUGUA